rnacentral:lncRNA from 1 species
UAAAAAGGAUGGUGUGUAUAGACAGUAGUUAUAUAGGAUGGUGUGUAUAGACAGUAUAGACAGUAGUUAUAUAGGAUGGUGUAUAUAGACAGUAUAGACAGUAGUUAUAUAGGAUGGUGUGUAUAGACAGUAGUUAUAUAGGAUGGUGUGUAUAGACAGUAGUUUAUAGGAUGGUGUGUAUAGACAGUAGUUAAAAAGGAUGGUGUGUAUAGACAGUAGUUAUAUAGGAUGGUGUGUAUAGACAGUAGUUAUAUAGGAUGGUGUAUAUAGACAGUAUAGACAGUAGUUAUAUAGGAUGGUGUAUAUAGACAGUAUAGACAGUAGUUAUAUAGGAUGGUGUAUAUAGACAGUAUAGACAGUAGUUAUAUAGGAUGGUGUAUAUAGACAGUAUAGACAGUAGUUAUAUAGGAUGGUGUAUAUAGACAGUAUAGACAGUAGUUAUAUAGGAUGAACCAUGACUAGAAUACAGUAUAUACAUACAGUGUAAAACAGUAUGAAAACAUGAAUAAAGUGACAAGUGUUCAACGGAUCUAUGUACACAGGGCAGCAGUUACUGGGUGGAGGCUAGUAACAGUAUCUAAGGUUCAGGGCAGCAGUUACUGGGUGGAGGCUAGUAACAGUAACUGAGGUUCAGGGCAGGGUACUGGGUGGAGGUUGGCUAGUAACAGUAACUAAGGUUCAGGGCAGGGUACUGGGUGGAGGCUAGUAACAGUAACUAAGGUUCAGGGCAGGGUACUGGGUGGAGGUUGGCUAGUAACAGUAUCUAAGGUUCAGGGCAGGGUACUGGGCAGGGUACUGGGUGGAGGCUAGUAACAGUAUCUAAGGUUCAGGGCAGGGUACUGGGUGGAGGCUAGUAACAGUAACUAAGGUUCAGGGCAGGGUACUCGGUGGAGGCUAGUAACAGUCACUAAGGUUCAGGGCAGGGUACUGGGUGGAGGCUAGUAACAGUAACUAAGGUUCAGGGCAGGGUACUGGGUGGAGGCUAGUAACAGUAACUAAGGUUCAGGGCAGGGUACUGGGUGGAGGCUAGUAACAGUAACUAAGGUUCAGGGCAGGGUACUGGGUGGAGGCUGGCUAGUAACAGUAACUAAGGUUCAGAGCGGGUACUGGGUGGAGGCCGGCUAGUAACAGUAACUAAGGUUCAGGGCAGAGUACUGGGUGGAGGAUAGUAACAGUAACUAAGGUUCAGGGCAGGGUACUGGGUGGAGGCUAGUAACAGUAACUAAGGUUCAGGGCAGGGUACUGGGUGGAGGCUGGCUAGUGGUGACUAAGGUUCAGGGCAGGGUACUGGGUGGAGGCUAGUAACAGUAACUAAGGUUCAGGGCAGGGUACUGGGUGGAGGCUAGCUAGUAACAGUAACUAAGGUUCAUGGCAGGGUACUGGGUGGAGGCUGGCUAGUGGUGACUAAGGUUCAGGGCAGGGUACUGGGUGGAGGCUAGUAACAGUAACUAAGGUUCAGGGCAGGGU